AGCAGCGUGGCUCAGUGGAAAGAGCCCCGGGCUUUUGGAGUCAGAUGUCAUGGGUUCGACUCCCGGCUCUGCCA
rnacentral:tRNA from 1 species